GACGAACGCUGGCGGCGUGCCUAAUACAUGCAAGUCGAACGAGUGGCGGACGGGUUAUUAAUGUAUGGGGAACUGCCUGAUGGAGGGGGUUAACUCCUUGAAACGUUAGCUACUACCUCAUCCCAUCAGAUUCAACCAUAUGGUAUUGGCUAGUAGGUGAGGUAACUGCUCACCUAGGCGACGAUCCCUAGCUGGUCUGAGAGGAGGAUCAGCCACACUGGGACUGAGACACGGCCCAGACUCCUACGGGAGGCAGCAGUGGGGAAUAUUGCACAAUGGGCGCAAGCCUGAUGCAGCCAUGCCGCGUGUAUGAAGAAGGCCUUCGGGUUGUAAAGUACUUUCAGUCGGGAGGCGUUACCGACAGAAGAAGCACCGGCUAACUCCGUGCCAGCCGCCGCGGUAAUAC
rnacentral:rRNA from 1 species